AUCUUUUUCUGGAGGUUGCUCCCUUUGGAGUUUUUCUGUGAGCCUAGGACACAGAUGCUGAUGGCAGUGGUACUGCAGUAGAAGCUGAACCUUCCCAAUAUUCCACUACAUCUGGUUGCUGUGUGACAGAUGGCAACAGAGGGGCAAUCCAACAAAAUGGUGUCUGACACAGAAGUACGCAUGAAGUAAAGAUGUGGAAUUGAAUUCCUCCAUGCGGAAAAAAUGGCACCCACUGAUAUUCAGUGAUGCUUGCUGAAUGUUGAUGGAGACUGCACAGUGGAUGUGUGCACAAGGUGGUAGGUGGUGCAUUUCAGCAAUGGCAACAGUGACAGUGGGUCACCUCUGCACAGUCUUGCAACAGAGUGAAGUAUACAGGCUCUUGUUCAUUGUUGUUGAAAAUGCAGAGUUAAUAGUGGUGACUAUGUUGAAAAACUGUGUUUUGCUGCUGAGACUAUCAGAUUGCAUUACUGCACUCUUCGUAUCUGUUGUAGUUUCUAUGGAAACAAAUAAGAUGCAUUACUUUCAGGCUGGCCUUUGUAUAUCAAAAUCUUAGGCUGCUGGAGACAUCUCUAAAAAAGUUAAUACACCCCUCAAAGUACAAUAUUAGAGAGUCCUAGGCAAUACUAUGCAAUCUCCUGAAGCUUCUUGUUACCAAGCUGUGUAUUAGGUAGACUUACAUUUUCAUAGAUCACUUAAUAAGGCAUAGAGACAUUGCUACCUCACAUCUGGUUUUGCACACCAUCAGAAUAGCUUUGUUUUGGCUUAGACUUUAAACUCUCUGUAUUCAAUAUCAUUCACAAGUACUUGGCCUCUAGGAUCUCUUUGAAUGUCUCCUCCACUGUCUUUUCCUGUGCUUGUUCCCAGUGACAUUCUCUACACCAUAGCUCCCAGAUAUCCCUCAACCACAAAAGGUAGUUGAAGCAGCUUCCAAAAAUAUCAGCUCCCAGGAGCAGUUGUUCAGUCUUGGAGUAUGAUAUGGUCUCCACUCUGUUCAGUAAAUGAAUUCAUGAUUCUGAAUUCCCAGCUGACAUUAAUAGCAGCAAGGAGCAUGAAGAGAGUUUAAUGUUAAUUUCUGCAGGUAAUGCAUGAAAGCAGAGAGGGAAAGCUUGAAAGGUCAACAUCUGCUGUCAUACCAGAAAGUUGCAAAAUUUGAUUGGCUAGUAAAUGUCAACACCAUGUUCUAAAAUCUACAUGCUAUCCUUUCAAUUUAAUCUUACUUUGCAGCUCAGCUAGAGAUCAUGCAGCAUGUAUCAAAAACCCCUGAGUUUGAAAACAGAAUUGUAUGAUUGCCUUCCCAUGGCAAUACAGCACUUGUAAAUUACAAACUUGUCAUUUAAUCAGCAUAGUAGGUAGUGUACUCCUGCAACUUCUUUAUAUCAAUUUUCAGGGAAUGCUGAAGAAUCUGUAAUAACUAUAUACCAUAAAGAAAUGCAGCUCCAACUGUUGCCAUGGUAUUAUGUACUCGUCUUCUUUAAAAGCAGUGACUAGAAUGUAAAACAGAUAAUGAAUCUAAUUGAUUGUCCCUGCACCUCACAGAGAUGUUUUAUUUUGGUCUCUUGCUUUGUUCCCUGUUUUGCCUCACAAUAUAUCAGACUCGGGACUAUGAUGUUUAGUGCAUUGAUUACAUUAAUUUAGAGAGCAGAUGCACUUUCUAAAAUAGAAAUAUGAUGACCAGCUCUAAGCAAUGAAGGUGAAAAUUACAUCUCCUUUCUCUAGAUGGAAGAUAACAGUCACUGUUGGAAAACAUACUUUCAGCCUGUUUAUGUGAAAGUUUCUGUGAAGUAGAUUGAACUAGCGAAAGCUAGAGACAGAGGGGGGAAGAGAGAGUGCAUCUGUGUCUGCAUCCAGAUAACGUACAUUAUUAUGCAUUGCAUCAGUAAAAUGUGACUGCAAGACUAUGGUCUAAAUGUACAUAAUCACAUUAGGUGUUGUAAUGAACUAAUUGUAGAGCUCCACAAUAUGGAUGAUUACAAGCACAGGAAGUUUCACACUGUCAGAUAAAAUUCUGUGUUCUGUUCUGCCUAGUCUUUGUGGGCUUUGCUUUACAUCACCUAGCCCUGAUGUAUCUUUCAGUCUCUGUGGUUUGACUCAUAAGCACUGUGGUAACUUGCUUAAUUCAUGUGAUGCAGUAGUAGCAGGAAGGAGAAAUAGAAGAUGCAUAUACUUCUUAGUGAGCUGCUGUAUGAGUCAGUGAAUAGAACAGAGGGCCAGCAAAUCUCACACACUUAGAAGAGUGGAUAGUGGUGCCAUCUCCUU
ensembl:lncRNA